UACGUAGGGACCAAGCGUUGUUCGGAUUUACUGGGCGUAAAGGGCGCGUAGGCGGCUUGACAAGUCAGUUGUGAAAUCUCCGGGCUUAACUCGGAACGGCCAAGUGAAACUGUCAUGCUAGAGUGCAGAAGGGGCAAUCGGAAUUCUUGGUGUAGCGGUGAAAUGCGUAGAUAUCAAGAGGAACACCUGAGGUGAAGACGGGUUGCUGGGCUGACACUGACGCUGAGGCGCGAAAGCUAGGGGAGCGAACAGG
rnacentral:rRNA from 1 species